ACCACAUGAAACCUGCCCUGUCUUCCCAGGCUUCCCAGAUUAAAAUAAGCAAUGCCUAGCUAUUAUAUAACACAUUUUCUCUCUAGAACUCAAAGCACUUUACUGAUUGCUUUAUUACUGCAUCCAUUUUACAGCUGAACAAACUGAGGCACGAAGGGGAAAUGGUCAUUCAGCAAGAGAGCAGCAGCAGAGACAGGAAAAGAAGCCGGAUUCCCAAGACCGCUCUCAGUUUACUAAACUGCUUUGCCUCUGCUCAGAUAUCCCAGAGCGGCGUGCAGAAGCCACAGUUUGGAAGAAGAGCAUGA
rnacentral:lncRNA from 1 species